rnacentral:rRNA from 1 species
ACUCCUACGGGAGGCAGCAGUGGGGAAUAUUGCACAAUGGGCGGAAGCCUGAUGCAGCAACGCCGCGUGAGGGACGACGGCCUUCGGGUUGUAAACCUCUUUUAGCAAGGAAGAAGCGAAAGUGACGGUACUUGCAGAAAAAGCGCCGGCUAACUACGUGCCAGCAGCCGCGGUAAUACGUAGGGCGCAAGCGUUAUCCGGAA